UGGGUAACCUGCCUGUAAGACUGGGAUAACUCCGGGAAACCGGGGCUAAUACCGGAUGCUUGAUUGAACCGCAUGGUUCAAUUAUAAAAGGUGGCUUUUAGCUACCACUUACAGAUGGACCCGCGGCGCAUUAUCUAGUUGGUGAGGUAACGGCUCACCAAGGCAACGAUGCGUACCCGACCUGAGAGGGUGAUCGGCCACACUGGGACUGAGACACGGCCCAGACUCCUACGGGAGGCAGCAGUAGGGAAUCUUCCGCAAUGGACGAAAGUCUGACGGAGCAACGCCGCGUGAGUGAUGAAGGUUUUCGGAUCGUAAAACUCUGUUGUUAGGGAAGAACAAGUACCGUUCGAAUAGGGCGGUACCUUGACGGUACCUAACCAGAAAGCCACGGCUAACUACGUGCCAGCAGCCGCGGUAAUACGUAGGUGGCAAGCGUUGUCCGGAAUUAUUGGGCGUAAAGCGCGCGCAGGCGGUUUCUUAAGUCUGAUGUGAAAGCCCCCGGCUCAACCGGGGAGGGUCAUUGGAAACUGGGGAACUUGAGUGCAGAAGAGGAGAGUGGAAUUCCACGUGUAGCGGUGAAAUGCGUAGAGAUGUGGAGGAACACCAGUGGCGAAGGCGACUCUCUGGUCUGUAACUGACGCUGAGGCGCGAAAGCGUGGGGAGCGAACAGGAUUAGAUACCCUGGUAGUCCACGCCGUAAACGAUGAGUGCUAAGUGUUAGAGGGUUUCCGCCCUUUAGUGCUGCAGCAAACGCAUUAAGCACUCCGCCUGGGGAGUACGGUCGCAAGACUGAAACUCAAAGGAAUUGACGGGGGCCCGCACAAGCGGUGGAGCAUGUGGUUUAAUUCGAAGCAACGCGAAGAACCUUACCAGGUCUUGACAUCCUCUGACAACCCUAGAGAUAGGGCUUCCCCUUCGGGGCAGAGUGACAGUGGUGCAUGGUUGUCGUCAGCUCGUGUCGUGAGAUGUUGGUUAAGUCCCGCAACGAGCGCAACCCUUGAUCUAGUUGCCAGCAUUCAGUUGGGCACUCU
rnacentral:rRNA from 1 species